AUUCGGCUGAGGAGUCCCAAAUAGGACAAAACGUGCUUCCUGGAU
rnacentral:hammerhead_ribozyme from 1 species